rnacentral:tRNA from 1 species
GGAAUUGUAGCUCAGUGGUAGAGCACUUGCCUAGCAUGUGAGAGGCACUGGGUUCAAACCUCAGCACCA